GUGGGGAAUAUUGGACAAUGGGGGGAACCCUGAUCCAGCCAUGCCGCGUGUGAGAAGAAGGCCUUUUGGUUGUAAAGCACUUUAAGCGAGGAGGAGGCUACCGAGAUUAAUACUCUUGGAUAGUGGACGUUACUCGCAGAAUAAGCACCGGCUAACUCUGUGCCAGCAGCCGCGGUAAUACAGAGGGUGCAAGCGUUAAUCGGAUUUACUGGGCGUAAAGCGCGCGUAGGUGGCCAAUUAAGUCAAAUGUGAAAUCCCCGAGCUUAACUUGGGAAUUGCAUUCGAUACUGGUUGGCUAGAGUAUGGGAGAGGAUGGUAGAAUUCCAGGUGUAGCGGUGAAAUGCGUAGAGAUCUGGAGGAAUACCGAUGGCGAAGGCAGCCAUCUGACCUAAUACUGACGCUGAGGUACGAAAGCAUGGGGAGCAAACAGGAUUAGAAACCCGAGUAGUCC
rnacentral:rRNA from 1 species